UACAGAGGGCUCAAGCGUUGUUCGGAUUCAUUGGGCGUAAAGGGUGCGUAGGCGGCGCGGUAAGUCGGGGGUGAAAUCUCGGAGCUUAACUCCGAAACUGCAUUCGAUACUGCCGUGCUUGAGGACUGGAGAGGAGACUGGAAUUUACGGUGUAGCGGUGAAAUGCGUAGAGAUCUGGAGGAACACCGAUGGCGAAGGCAGCCUUCUGGGCCAACACUGACGCUCAUGCACGAAAGCGUGGGGAGCAAACAGG
rnacentral:rRNA from 1 species